AGAGCGAACGCUGGCGGCAGGCCUAACACAUGCAAGUCGAGCGCCCGUAGCAAUACGGGAGCGGCAGACGGGAGAGUAACACGUGGGAACGCGCCCUUCGGUUCGGAAUAACUCAGGGAAACUUGAGCUAAUACCGGAUACGCCCUUACGGGGAAAGAUUUAUUGCCGAAGGAACGGCCCGCGUCCGAUUAGCUUGUUGGUGAGGUAAUGGCUCACCAAGGCGACGAUCGGUAGCUGGUCUGAGAGGAUGACCAGCCUCACUGGGACUGAGACACGGCCCAGACUCCUACGGGAGGCAGCAGUGGGGAAUAUUGGACAAUGGGCGCAAGCCUGAUCCAGCCAUGCCGCGUGGAUGAUGAAGGCCCUAGGGUUGUAAAGUCCUUUUAACGGGGAAGAUAAUGACGGUACCGUAGAAUAAGCCCGGCUAACUUCGCGCCAGCAGCCGC
rnacentral:rRNA from 1 species